UACAGAGGGUGCAUGCGUUGUUCGGAAUUAUUGGGCGUAAAGCGCGCGUAGGCGGUCUUGCAAGUAGGAUGUGAAAGCCCGGGGCUCAACCUCGGAAGUGCAUCCGAAACUGCCAGACUUGAAUCCUGGAGGGGGCAGUGGAAUUCCCGGUGUAGAGGUGAAAUUCGUAGAUAUCGGGAGGAACAACAGUGGCGAAGGCGACUGCCUGGACAGUGAUUGACGCUGAGGUGCGAAAGCGUGGGUAGCAAACAGG
rnacentral:rRNA from 1 species